rnacentral:lncRNA from 1 species
UGAGCUAGGAAGCUUUUAAAAAUUACAAGUAAUCAUUCAGACUUAGUUAAUGGAACUAUUCCUCAGAGACAGCCAGAAACUCAGCAGGGAAGGAGACUUGGUAAAGACCAGACAUCCUGUAUUCUAUGGAAUCGGGCUGAAAACACUAUUUGAUCAUUAUGGGGAAAGAUGACUCCUAAAAGAACAGUUGGGGACAUCUGAUUUGGAAAGCAUUUAAGUCCCAAAAGGAAGAAUUACAUGAACCCUGGCCAUUCACCCUACAAGAGAGAAGGGGUAACUCAAUCACUAUUGUAUAGGGAGUGUGAAGCUGUUCUUGAAUACCAUGGACAAUCUCAUAGAAGGAAAUAGAAACAGUUGCAAGUGGACACAAGAAACAACUAAGUAUCACUACGAUGUUAACUGUUUAAGAAAGGUUGAAAAUUACUCGUUCUGAAUGGUAAAAUUCAUCUGAAGUAGAAAGGUUGAGAUCCUUGUGUCCUUCCAAAGUUAUUUUUCUACAGAUCUUAAGCACAAAUUAAAGUUUUAUUUACUUCAGGCAACUACAAGCAUCUAUUAAGAUUUUUUCCCUGUGCCAUGAUCAAAUAUGAAAUAAAUCCAUACAGUGAAACACA